rnacentral:rRNA from 1 species
UACGGAGGGUGCAAGGCGUUAUCCGGAUUUAUCUGGGUUUAAAGGGUGCGCAGGCGGAUAUGGUAAGUCAGUGGUGAAAUCUCUAGGCUUAAACCUGGAAAUUGCCGUUGAUACUAUAUAUACUUGAAUGCUGUGGGAGGUAAGCGGAAUAUGUCAUGUAGCGGUGAAAUGACUUAGAUAUGACAUAGAACACCUAAUUGC